rnacentral:rRNA from 1 species
GAUGAACGCUGGCGGCGUGCCUAAUACAUGCAAGUCGAGCGAAUGGAUUAAGAGCUUGCUCUUAUGAAGUUAGCGGCGGACGGGUGAGUAACACGUGGGUAACCUGCCCAUAAGACUGGGAUAACUCCGGGAAACCGGGGCUAAUACCGGAUAAUAUUUUGAACUGCACGGUUCAAAAUUGAAAGGCGGCUUCGGCUGUCACUUAUGGAUGGACCCGCGUCGCAUUAGCUAGUUGGUGAGGUAACGGCUCACCAAGGCAACGAUGCGUAGCCGACCUGAGAGGGUGAUCGGCCACACUGGGACUGAGACACGGCCCAGACUCCUACGGGAGGCAGCAGUAGGGAAUCUUCCGCAAUGGACGAAAGUCUGACGGAGCAACGCCGCGUGAGUGAUGAAGGCUUUCGGGUCGUAAAACUCUGUUGUUAGGGAAGAACAAGUGCUAGUUGAAUAAGCUGGCACCUUGACGGUACCUAACCAGAAAGCCACGGCUAACUACGUGCCAGCAGCCGCUGUAA